CCGGCGAUGUCCGAAUGGGGAAACCCAGUGCAAUUCGUUGCACUAUCGUUAACUGAAUACAUAGGUUAACGAGGCGAACCGGGGGAACUGAAACAUCUAAGUACCCCGAGGAAAAGAAAUCAACCGAGAUUCCCCCAGUAGCGGCGAGCGAACGGGGAGCAGCCCAGAGUCUGAAUCAGCUUGUGUGUUAGUGGAACGGUCUGGAAAGUCCGACGGUACAGGGUGAUAGUCCCGUACACCAAAAUGCACAGGUUGUGAACUCGAAGAGUAGGGCGGGACACGUGGUAUCCUGUCUGAAUAUGGGGGGACCAUCCUCCAAGGCUAAAUACUCCUGACUGACCGAUAGUGAACCAGUACCGUGAGGGAAAGGCGAAAAGAACCCCGGCGAGGGGAGUGAAAAAGAACCUGAAACCGUGUACGUACAAGCAGUGGGAGCACCUUCGGGUGUGACUGCGUACCUUUUGUAUAAUGGGUCAGCGACUUAUAUUCUGUAGCAAGGUUAACCGUAUAGGGGAGCCGCAGGGAAACCGAGUCUUAACUGGGCGUUAAGUUGCAGGGUAUAGACCCGAAACCCGGUGAUCUAGCCAUGGGCAGGUUGAAGGUUGGGUAACACUAACUGGAGGACCGAACCGACUAAUGUUGAAAAAUUAGCGGAUGACUUGUGGCUGGGGGUGAAAGGCCAAUCAAACCGGGAGAUAGCUGGUUCUCCCCGAAAGCUAUUUAGGUAGCGCCUCGUGAAUUCAUCUUCGGGGGUAGAGCACUGUUUCGGCUAGGGGGUCAUCCCGACUUACCAACCCGAUGCAAACUACGAAUACCGAAGAAUGUUAUCACGGGAGACACACGGCGGGUGCUAACGUCCGUCGUGAAGAGGGAAACAACCCAGACCGCCAGCUAAGGUCCCAAAGUCACAGUUAAGUGGGAAACGAUGUGGGAAGGCACAGACAGCCAGGAUGUUGGCUUAGAAGCAGCCAUCAUUUAAAGAAAGCGUAAUAGCUCACUGGUCGAGUCGGCCUGCGCGGAAGAUGUAACGGGGCUAAACUGUGCACCGAAGCUGCGGCAGCGACACUAUGUGUUGUUGGGUAGGGGAGCGUUCUGUAAGCCUGCGAAGGUGGCCUGUGAGGGUUGCUGGAGGUAUCAGAAGUGCGAAUGCUGACAUAAGUAACGAUAAUGCGGGUGAAAAGCCCGCACGCCGGAAGACCAAGGGUUCCUGUCCAACGUUAAUCGGGGCAGGGUGAGUCGACCCCUAAGGCGAGGCCGAAAGGCGUAGUCGAUGGGAAACAGGUUAAUAUUCCUGUACUUGGUGUUACUGCGAAGGGGGGACGGAGAAGGCUAUGUUAGCCGGGCGACGGUUGUCCCGGUUUAAGCAUGUAGGCGGAGGUUCCAGGUAAAUCCGGUACCUUUUUAACGCUGAGGUGUGAUGACGAGGCACUACGGUGCUGAAGUAACAAAUGCCCUGCUUCCAGGAAAAGCCUCUAAGCAUCAGGUAACAUUAAAUCGUACCCCAAACCGACACAGGUGGUCAGGUAGAGAAUACCAAGGCGCUUGAGAGAACUCGGGUGAAGGAACUAGGCAAAAUGGUGCCGUAACUUCGGGAGAAGGCACGCUGAUAUGUAGGUGAAGCCCCUGCGGGUGGAGCUGAAAUCAGUCGAAGAUACCAGCUGGCUGCAACUGUUUAUUAAAAACACAGCACUGUGCAAACACGAAAGUGGACGUAUACGGUGUGACGCCUGCCCGGUGCCGGAAGGUUAAUUGAUGGGGUUAUCCGUAAGGAGAAGCUCUUGAUCGAAGCCCCGGUAAACGGCGGCCGUAACUAUAACGGUCCUAAGGUAGCGAAAUUCCUUGUCGGGUAAGUUCCGACCUGCACGAAUGGCGUAAUGAUGGCCAGGCUGUCUCCACCCGAGACUCAGUGAAAUUGAACUCGCUGUGAAGAUGCAGUGUACCCGCGGCAAGACGGAAAGACCCCGUGAACCUUUACUAUAGCUUGACACUGAACAUUGAGCCUUGAUGUGUAGGAUAGGUGGGAGGCUUUGAAGCGUGGACGCCAGUCUGCGUGGAGCCAACCUUGAAAUACCACCCUUUAAUGUUUGAUGUUCUAACGUUGGCCCCUUAUCGGGGUUGCGGACAGUGUCUGGUGGGUAGUUUGACUGGGGCGGUCUCCUCCCAAAGAGUAACGGAGGAGCACGAAGGUUAGCUAAUCCUGGUCGGACAUCAGGAGGUUAGUGCAAUGGCAUAAGCUAGCUUGACUGCGAGCGUGACGGCGCGAGCAGGUGCGAAAGCAGGUCAUAGUGAUCCGGUGGUUCUGAAUGGAAGGGCCAUCGCUCAACGGAUAAAAGGUACUCCGGGGAUAACAGGCUGAUACCGCCCAAGAGUUCAUAUCGACGGCGGUGUUUGGCACCUCGAUGUCGGCUCAUCACAUCCUGGGGCUGAAGUAGGUCCCAAGGGUAUGGCUGUUCGCCAUUUAAAGUGGUACGCGAGCUGGGUUUAGAACGUCGUGAGACAGUUCGGUCCCUAUCUGCCGUGGGCGCUGGAGAAUUGAGGGGGGCUGCUCCUAGUACGAGAGGACCGGAGUGGACGCAUCACUGGUGUUCGGGUUGUCAUGCCAAUGGCAUUGCCCGGUAGCUAAAUGCGGAAGAGAUAAGUGCUGAAAGCAUCUAAGCACGAAACUUGCCCCGAGAUGAGUUCUCCCUGAGACU
rnacentral:rRNA from 1 species